UGCGUAGGCGGGCGAGUCAGUCAGGGGUGAAAUCCCACGGCCCAACCGUGGAAGUGCCUCUGAUACUGCGAGUCUAGAGGGGGAUAGGGGCGUGCGGAACUUCCGGUGGAGCGGUGAAAUGCGUAGAUAUCGGAAGGAACACCGGUGGCGAAAGCGGCGCGCUGGAUCCCUACUGACGCUGAGGCACGAAAGCCAGGGGAGCAAACG
rnacentral:rRNA from 1 species